CCGAAGCUGGAUUUGCGCGAAGUCUCCUCUUGAAAGUUGGAUUACUGUGCACUUCUGGAUCACAGGCUGUAAGUAUUCACGUUUAUUAUUUGCCUUUUACUGUACAUUACGUAACCGGUAACCGGAGAUUAACAUAAUGUGCGUGUAGAGCUAAGCUUGCAAGCUAAUUGUUUUGUGUUGUAAUACUGUAUUUCAUAAACAACGUACCAUAUUUACACACGUGUAUGUUGAAUUAUGCAGACUAUCGUUUUUUUUAUCUAUGUUGGUUUAGACAUGUUUACAAACUUGCUAAGUUACUAAGCUAAAUACAAAUACAAAUGCCAGCUAAACUGUUACCGGUAAAAUUUGUUCUCAUGAUCAAACUCAAGAAACUCUAAGUACAGAUGAUUUGUUUAAAGUUAUAUGUAUUUUACUGUUGUAUUUACUUGAAGCUUUCUUAGAUUUUGAAACGAAGUAAACACGUAAUGUGUGUUGCUAAUGUUGGGCCAUGUAAUAUGUAAUACAUUAACGUUUUAAUGAAUAGUCUAACGAGUUAUAGUCGUUGUACUCUAUUGUUAUAAUAUGUCUUUUUGACUGAAUACAUGUUUGUUUUAUUUGUCUAUAUCCUAGAUUCGCAGCUGGACACAUCCUUCUACACUGUAUGCAAACAUGCAACAUCAUUACACACAGUACAAGGAGUCAGACUGGCAUAUGAGGAGCAAAGGAACCCAGGCAGUAGCAUCGUUUCACAAUGUUUCCAUCACCAUCAUCAGUGGAUGCCUUUGCUGUCCGUAGCCUGAGAUUUCAGAUUUGCAGCAAAAAAAAAAAUUAUUUUCUCAUUUAUUGGAAUGCUGUGCAGGUAUUUGUACCUUGCAGCUAUCCAUUACAAUGUCACCAAGCCGUAACAAAAGCAGGAGAGGGAAAGUACAAGGCUAUGUUCCCAAAACACACAAG